rnacentral:lncRNA from 1 species
GCCAAAUAUUAUUAUUAUUAUUAUUAUUAUUAUUAUUAUUGUUGUUGUUGUUGUUGUUGUUGUUAUAGUACUGAAACCAUUGUUUUAGUUGUGACGUUAUAUUUACCUUAACCAAGAGCGUGAUUGGUUGAGACUGUCAGUGUCUCAGGAACUAGGACAAUAAAAGAUUGGCUGUAAAAUGACCACGCAACUGAGAAAAAAUGCUGUAAGAGGGAACAACAAGCCCACCGUGUGUAUUUUCAUGAGCCACUGAAACGCUUUUCCUUGUACAGGACCCUGUUACAUGAGCGCUGAGCGUACCGGAUGGGUGGCGAUGACGUCGACCUCCUGCGUUUCUCGCAUGCAGUUGCUGAACACGAUUAUUGAUUUUUCAUCAGCGGCAUCUCAGCUUGGGGGUCAGCAAGGCCAACCACUCAGCCCCAGGGGUUUGGGGCUGUGGAGCACCUUCCUUCAUGGACACUACCUCCGAAGUGCCCCCUUAGCCUCAGCUACACGAAACAGGAGCAGAACCAGAGAAGCAAACAGAGAAACAGCAAUCAGAACCGCUGGUGAGUAUUUCCUGGGGGAAAUUAAAAGACAUUAUUGAUCCACUGAGGAUUUUGCCGAGGCUGGGAAGGGAAGCCCAGAGUGCAGCGCGUGAUGGAGAGACAGGGCCACGUGGACCUGCGCACACCUGCACACGGGGCCUCGUGCAGAGCUUUAAUAAAAGUCGGCUCGGCAUCA